CUAGGAUAAGAGGGAUGGCCUGUUACGGCCGUAGGACAAGGACAGAAUACACACUGGGACUGACCAAAGGCUGGCUGAAAAGAUACAAGGGACCACAGUACUUUGACUAAUGACCCUCAGUCACCCUUACAUGAAGUGGUUCAUCUGUGUGUUCUCUGUGGUCGUUAUUGGACUCCUUUUAGCCAAUCUAACAGAAGGGUCCAUGGCUCUGCUUUGCUGUUCAGAUAUUCAGUGCGUUACGGCCCCUUGUCCCUGUACUAACAACCCGUUCUUGUGUCGUAUCAGCAGACUUCUAGAGUCCAAAGUAGACAUGUGAAAGGAAGAAUCAAGUGUAACUUGAAAAAUAAAUGAUAAUUUCAACUAUAGAAUACAAAGAA